AAAUAAAUGACUCCUCAUUGCUCUCUCUUGCUCAGUCCCACAGUCCUCCCAGCGCCAUAACCUGGACUCACCUGAUGAAACACCUACCUUUGCACUGGUCUAGAUACUUCUCUCACUUAUCUCUGCCUUUUCUUUUCACCACAUGCCUAAGGCCCCUGCACUCCCUAAAUGAUACGAAGGACUUGUUUGUCCCCUGAACCUAAGGACUGGAGAAACAAAAGAAAUAAAAGAGAAGAGAAAAGAGAAGAGAAGAGAACCUUUCCCAUUUGUUCUGUGAAGUCACUCUACUCAUGGAAGCUGGAACAGUGAGUGUAAAUGUUGGCAGGAGAUUCUUUCCACAGCAGACCUGACCACAGCAGACCAGCAGACCUGACCUAACAUGGAACAGUUUGAAAACCGGGUUGAUAAAACUGGGGAAAGGGAAAGAAGCCACGAGAAUCCAGAAGUUGGAAGCAUCACUGGACACACCAGGCAGGAAUCCCCCACCAAUCACCUGGGGAUGAUGCUCUCUCGGCCCAACCCACAGGGGUGCACUGACAGGUUUUAAUUUUCAGGAUGAAACAUAAAGUCCGAGGAAACCCUCAGCAUAAUCACUUGGGGACUCAUGUUUCCACAGCAAAGACACCAGUCCUGAACUUCUCCUUUCAGAAUUCUUGGGAAAUGCUCAUCUAUCUCCUUACCUCAGAAGGGCUCCUGUCCUAUCUCACACUUGAAGAAGUCCAUCUGAAGCAAGGCUGCAGCUCCCUGCCAUGAUGCUACAUAUUCCUGCAUCUCUCCUCACUAGUGACUACUUUCCUGUUUAAAUUCAAAGUCAAUGGGGCGCCUAGGGGGCUCAGUGGUUGAGUGCCUGCCUUCAACUCAGGAUAUGAUCCUGUGAUCCUGGGAUCUAGUCCCGCAUUGGGCUCCCUGCAAGGAGCCCGCUUCUCCCUCUAUGACUCUGCCUCUCUCCGUGUGUCUCAUGAAUAAAUAAAAUCUUAAAAAG
rnacentral:lncRNA from 1 species